AUGUUUUUGUCUGUAGGUACUGACAGUCAAACACUGACUGAGUCUGAAUCAGUGAUUAAAAGGCCUGGAGACUCCCACAGACUGACCUGUACAUACUCAGGGUUCAGUGAUGAUAUUAAUGCUGCUUGGAUCAGACAGGCUGCUGGAAAAAGACUGGAGUGGAUUGCUUUUAUUGAGGAUGAUAGAAGCUAUAUCCACUACUCUCAGUCAGUCAGAGGCAGAUUUACCAUCUCCAGAGACAACAGCAGAAAGCAGGCUGAUAUAAAGUCAGAAGAAGAUGAGAAGCUCCCAUCAGAUCAUUUUGAACACCAACAUGUUCUCUGUAGCUCUGCUGCUGCUGCUGGAUCCUGUGUGAAAUGUGAAAAGCUGACGCAGACAGCCUCUGUGAUUGUGCAGCCAGGUCAGCGUCUGACCAUCACCUGUCAGGUCUCUUAUUCUCUUGGCUACUGGACAGCUUGGAUCAGACAGCCUGCAGGGAAAGGACUGGAGUGGAUUGGGAUGAAACAUACUUCAGCUUCAUACUAUAAAGAUUCACUAAAGAACAAAUUCAGCAUUGACUUAGACACUUCAAGCAACACAGUAACUUUAAAUGGACAGAAUAUGCAGCCUGAAGACACCGCUGUGUAUUACUGUGCCAGAGAGUCACAGUGACACAAAACAUCAACAGACCUGAACAAAAACCCCUCAGUGCAUGAACACAUUUGUAACAUGAAGCCACCAGAGGAGGCGCUCUAAGACUAAUAAUGAUUUUAAGGUAUAUUUAAGA